rnacentral:lncRNA from 1 species
UAAUCACAGAUAAAUUAUUAUAUAAAAAAAACCAUUAUAUGUCGAUAAACUCCCAUCAUAAACUAAUAACAUAGUAUUUAAUAAUCUAUCGAACUGCUAGAUAUCUACUCAUUAUAAUAUUAACAUGGACUUGGCAUAUUAAAUAUAUAUGGAUAAUAAUUGUAUAUUUACAAUUAUUAUAAAAGGUAGGGUUGGCGAAUGAUUACUCGAUUAGUAUUAACCCG